GAAAAAAGUCGAUUAAUCAUCAAACCACAAAAAUCAGAUUGUCCUUGUUCUGAAUGAGUAAAUCUCAAAAAGAAGGUAACUCAUAAAAAUAACAUAUUUGAAUAAAAUGACCAGAACAAACAAGUGCAGCACCACUACUCAGCAUAACAAUGGAUACAAUAAGCUAAAAGUUUUUCAUUUAUCCCAAAAAUGAAUUACUGUGGUUUUACACUAAGUUCCUGAAUGCAUGAUU
rnacentral:misc_RNA from 1 species